ensembl:rRNA 5S_rRNA 5S ribosomal RNA
GUCUAUGGACAUGCCACCUUGAACGUGACCGAUUCCGUCUGAUCUCCGAAAUUAAGCAGGGUCCAGCCUGGUUAGUACUUGGAUGGUAGACCACCUAGGAAGACCAGGUGCUGUAGGAG